CUGGUUACCUGUCAUUAGGCCGGAAUGGAGUACUUUUCGGGGAGCUACAGGGGAGCAUUCCCUGGGUAGGAUGAGCAGUUGCCAGUAAAUACCGCUGGCAGGAUACAAAGGAGCGCGCCAUGACAAAUGACGCACUGAGUGGCAGCCCAGUCACGUGUGAUGAACCGACAACAAUGUCAGCCAAUUCGGGGUGUAUCACCCAGAAACAGCCCCCCAAAAAAAGAAAGAAAUGGAAGCCCCAAGCCUAAGCCAUUGUUUCCCAGACACUUAUACGAGCAGCGGAUAUCGAUGGCAGGACCAAAAGGACUCGCCGUGGCAGCUGUCAGGCGCUUGGGAGGCCCCCGUUCAGGCAUAUGGUUUGCUCACCGAUAAAUAAAUACAUGCGUUCGCAAGAAGGGAAAAUGAUUUAUGCAAAUUGAAAGCACUGCCAAAGCGAUCAUAUAACCUGAGUCAGAACAUCAUAACCCCAAUGUGGCAGUCAAAAUAAAUUGUAAUACAUUAUGA